UACGUAGGGUGCAAGCGUUGUCCGGAAUUAUUGGGCGUAAAGAGCUCGUAGGCGGCCUGUCGCGUCUGCUGUGAAAUCCCGGGGCUUAACCCCGGGCGUGCAGUGGAUACGGGCUGGCUGGAGGCAGGCAGGGGAGAACGGAAUUCCCGGUGUAGCGGUGAAAUGCGCAGAUAUCGGGAGGAACACCGGUGGCGAAGGCGGUUCUCUGGGCCUGUACUGACGCUGAGGAGCGAAAGCGUGGGGAGCGAACAGG
rnacentral:rRNA from 1 species